GGACCUCACUGCUAUCGGGGUGGGACUAAAACAUGCAAGUCGAGCGCCUCCAAGCUAUGGUGAAGGCGCGGCAUACGGCUCAGUAACACGUGGCCAACCUACCCUUGGGACGGAGACAACCCCGGGAAACUGGGGCUAAUCCCCGAUAGGUAAGGAAUCCUGGAAUGGAUCUUUGCUGAAAGGGCGUCUAGACCAUGCUUCUUGACGUCGCCCAAGGAUGGAGCCGCGGCCGAUCAGGUAGUUGGCGAGGCAACGGCUCACCAAGCCUAUAACCGGUACGGGCCGUGAGAGCGGUAGCCCGGAGAUGGGCACUGAGACAAGGGCCCAGGCCCCACGGGGCGCAGCAGUUGCGAAAACUCCGCAAUGCGCGAAAGCGUGACGGGGCUACCCCGAGUGCCGCCCGUUGAGGGCGGCUUUUCCAUGGUGUAAGGAGCCGUGGGAAUAAGGAGAGGGCAAGACUGGUGUCAGCCGCCGCGGUAAUACCAGCUCUCCGAGUGGUGGGGACGAUUAUUGGGCUUAAAGCGUUCGUAGCCGGCUUAACAAGUCUUUCGUUAAAUCCAACGAUCUAAUCGUUGGGCUGCGGGAGAUACUGUUGGGCUAGGAGGCGGGAGAAGCCGACGGUAUUCCCGGGGUAGGGGUGAAAUCCUGUAAUCCCGGGAGGACCACCAGUGGCGAAGGCGGUCGGCUAGAACGCGCUCGACGGUGAGGGACGAAAGCUGGGGGAGCGAACCGGAUUAGAAACCCGGAUAGUCCCAGCUGUAAACGAUGCGGGCUAGGUGUUGGGGUGGCCAUGAGCCACCUCAGUGCCGCAUGGAAGCAAUUAAGC
rnacentral:rRNA from 1 species